CCAAGGGAGUCCACAUGGGGAUGAGUCAGGGCCUGGUGCCGGCCCCGUGCUCCGCCCCACUGGUAAACAGUUCUUUGCCGUCACUCAGAGCCUCUCAGGGCCCCAAGACGCCAGGAAGAAACAAGUAUUGUAGAAGCCAAAACCCCAAGGCAAGGGAGAAGCUAUUGGAAGAAAAACCCUCUGAAUAGAAGUAUAUCACCAGCAACACAUGUGGACUACAGCCUCGGAAAUGUCCUCAUGGUCCGGCUUCAUAAAAAGCAGCCUGGCUGUUGGCAAGAUGUGCCCAGCUCUGCUUCUGCUCAUGUGGAAUGUAACAUUACCCUAAUGCAGCUGGGGCACAUGC